GACGAACGCUGGCGGCGUGCUUAACACAUGCAAGUCGAACGGUAAGGCCCUUCGGGGUACACGAGUGGCGAACGGGUGAGUAACACGUGGGUGAUCUGCCCUGCACUUCGGGAUAAGCCUGGGAAACUGGGUCUAAUACCGGAUAGGACCACUGCCUGCAUGGGUGGUGGUGGAAAGUUUUUGCGGUGUGGGAUGGGCCCGCGGGCUAUCAGCUUGUUGGUGGGGUGAUGGCCUACCCAGGCGACGACGGGUAGCCGGCCGGAGAGGGGGACCGGCCACACUGGGACUGAGAUACGGCCCAGACUCCUACGGGAGGCAGCAGUGGGGAAUAUUGCACAAUGGGCGCAAGCCUGAUGCAGCGACGCCGCGUGAGGGAUGACGGCCUUCGGGUUGUAAACCUCUUUCAGCACCGACGAAGCGCAAGUGACGGUAGGUGCAGAAGAAGGACCGGCCAACUACGUGCCAGCAGCCGCCGUAA
rnacentral:rRNA from 1 species